UCCAAGUUUAUUACUAGUUUAAAUGGCUAUAGAAUAUGUUCUGAUCAUGCAUGUUCUAUAAAUGAAGAUAAUAAUCCUGACAACCAUCUUCUUUGGUCAUUUCAGCAAGAGAAUAUGCACCGACGAAGACGCCUAAAUCCAAAGGCUGAUGCCAACUUUUACAUUGAUACUGGAGGGGACAAAGUGGGACUUGACAUCAAAUACAUCAAUGCCUUCAAAGGUCGUGGCAUCUUCACCUCUGCUCUAUUUGAAAAGGGAGACUUUCUGUUGGAAUAUAGAGGUGAAUUAAUAAGCCAGCAAGAAUGUGAACGGAGACAGAGACUUCAUCACGACUGCCUGAAGGUGUUCAUGUUCGAGUUCUAUUUGAAUGGAAAACUAUGGUGUUUUGAUGCAGCAAAAGAGGAUGGGUCACUUGGAAGACUUGUGAACGAUAAUAAUGUCAACCCCAAUGCCAAGAUGAAGUACCUAAACAUACAAGGGAAGCCCCAUCUGUGUUUGUUUGCAACACCAGACAUCAGUCAAGGAGAGGAGGUCACCUAUAAUUAUGGUGACUCGGAUUGGCCGUGGAGAUGCAAGCUUCAGAAAUCUGAAGGAAAGUCUUCGGACGGGGAGCACGGUGAGGGUCCAUCUACAUCCGAGCCUUCUCAGAGUACUCAAAAGGUGUCAACAAGUAAGAGGCAAGAAAAGAGAUCUCCAGGUGCAUCAACUAGUCUGCUCAAAAGAUAUGAAAAGAUGAUAACAGUGAGCUGAUUGAGUCUGCUCUGAGGGACGAAACUGACCAGCUUGAGACCUCUGUGGAUGGCCUGAAUCCAACAUUCACACAACUUGGUCUCCUCAACAGGGUUGAAGAGUGUCAAGCAUCACCUGGUGUGCACAACAAUAUCCUCCUUGGACAAGUAUGUUCAAUGUUUGGGACCUGUAUCCUCCAAGUGGCGUGGCUAUGAAUGCAGAGAUAAGAUAUUUAGUGGAUUGGUACAAAGUGCGUCUUGGGGUAUUAGGUCGGUAUAUUUGCUGUGUUCAAAUGUACAAACCAUUCUAUAAUGAAACACUUAUGACAAAUAAUCCUUAAUUCACAGCAUAGGAUGCUAUAUCAACUAUUUCCAAAAUUGUGAAGUUUUGUUCUGGCAUCAAUCCUCAGAAGAGUUACAAAUGAUAACCAACACCCAUCACAGUUUCUGGAGUGCAUGUCCGAUGAGGAAUGCACACCGGACUCGGAAACACAAGAUGACGACGAUGAUGAUUAUGAUGAUGAUGAUUCCGAUGCAAGCAUCCCCAUUACGCCUCAUCAGUUGAAACCAGGACGGAUUCAAGUGAAACCAGUACUACCUGACGCUGGAGCAUCUCAUGGGUCAGACACAAGCAUCCCAGUCGUCAAAAGAUCGCCCAACUCUUCAAAUCACUUCCAAUGCUGCUGAAACCUCGAGUUACCAACGACUCAACACAGGAAAAGUGUGAAGUUGAACUUAACAGACAACAAGUAACCACAAACGAUUACUGUUAUGUUUAUGGUAAACCACAAAGCAACACUAUCUGUCUCUCACUGUCUUUAUGUCUCUCUAUCGAUCUCUCUCUGUCUCUCUCUCCUCACUGUCUAUGUCUCUCUCUUUGUCCCUUCACUGUUUAUGUCUCUCUUUGUGUCUCUCUCCUCACUGUUUAUGUCUCUGUGUCUGUCUUUAUAUCUCUGUCUCCUUAUUGUCUAUGUCCCUCUGUGUCUGUCUCUAUGUCCCUCUGUCUCCUCAUUAUCUAUGUCUUUCUGUGUCUUUCUCUCCUGACUGUCUACGUCUCGAUGUGUCUGUCUCUUGUCUUUAUAUCUGUCUCUUUAUUGUCUACGUCCCUCUGUGUCUGUCUUUAUGUCUCCCUCUGUCUCCUCAUUGUCUAUGUCUGUCUCUAUGUAUCUCUCUCUCUCUGUCUCCUCCAUGGAUAUGUCUCUCUGUCUGUCUGAUGUCUCUCUCUGUAUCCUUACUUUCUAUGCGUGUCUGUCUGUGUCUUUAUGUCUCUCUCUGUCUCCAAAUUGUUUAUGUCCCUCUGUGUCUGUCUUUAUGUCUCUCUCUGUCUCCUCACUGUCUAUGUCUCUCUAUCUUUAUGUAUGUCUCUCUCUGUCUCCUCACUGUCUCUGUCUCUCUGUCUUUAUGUAUGUCUCUCUGUCUCUGUCUCUCUAUCUUUAUGUAUGUCUCUCUCUCUCUGUCUCCUCACUGUCUCUCUGUCUUUAUGUAUGUCUCUGUCUCCUCACUGUCUCUGUCUCUCUAUCUUUAUGUAUGUCUCUGUCUCUGUCUCUCUGUCUUUAUGUAUGUCUCUCUGUCUCUGUCUCUCUGUCUUUAUGUAUGUCUCUCUCUCUGUCUCCUCUCUAUCUUUAUGUAUGUCUCUCUCUCUCUGUCUCCUCACUGUCUCUGUCUUUAUGUAUGUCUCUCUCUCUGUCUCCUCACUGUCUUUAUGUAUGUCUCUCUCUCUGUCUCCUCACUGUCUCUCUAUCUUUAUGUAUGUCUCUCUCUCUGUCUCCUCACUGUCUAUGUCUCUCUAUCUUUAUGUAUGUCUCUCUCUGUCUCCUCACUGUCUCUGUCUCUCUGUCUUUAUGUAUGUCUCUCUGUCUCCUCACUGUCUGUCUCUCUAUCUUUAUGUAUGUCUCUCUCUCUCUGUCUCCUCACUGUAUCUGUCUCUCUAUCUUUAUGUAUGUCUCUCUCUGUCUCCUCACUGUAUCUGUCUCUCUAUCUUUAUGUAUGUCUCUCUCUGUCUCCUCACUGUAUCUGUCUCUCUGUCUUUAUGUAUGUCUCUCUCUGUCUCCUCACUGUCUCUGUCUCUCUAUCUUUAUGUAUCUCUCUCUCUGUCUCCUCACUGUCUAUGUCUCUCUAUCUUUAUGUAUGUCUCUCUGUCUCCUCACUGUCUAUGUCUCUCUAUCUUUAUGUAUGUCUCUCUCUGUCUCCUCACUGUCUAUGUCUCUCUAUCUUUAUGUAUGUCUCUCUCUGUCUCCUCACUGUCUAUGUCUCUCUAUCUUUAUGUAUCUCUCUCUCUGUCUCCUCACUGUCUAUGUCUCUCUAUCUUUAUGUAUAUCUCUCUCUGUCUCCUCACUGUCUAUGUCUCUCUAUCUUUAUGUAUAUCUCUCUCUGUCUCCUCACUGUCUCUGUCUCUCUAUCUUUAUGUCUCUCUCUCACUGUAUCUGUCUCUCUAUCUUUAUGUCUCUCUCUCUCUGUCUCCUCACUGUCUCUGUCUCUCUAUCUUUAUGUAUGUCUCUCUCUCUGUCUCCUCACUGUCUCUGUCUUUCUAUCUUUAUGUAUGUCUCUCUCUCUGUCUCCUCACUGUAUCUGUCUCUCUAUCUUUAUGUAUGUCUCUCUCUCUGUCUCCUCACUGUAUCUGUCUCUCUAUCUUUAUGUAUGUCUAUCUCUCUCCUCACUGUCUCUGUCUCUCUAUCUUUAUGUAUGUCUCUCUCUGUCUCCUCACUGUCUCUGUCUCUCUGUCUUUAUGUAUGUCUCUCUCUGUCUCCUCACUGUCUAUGUCUCUCUAUCUUUAUGUAUGUCUCUCUCUGUCUCCUCACUGUCUAUGUCUCUCUAUCUUUAUGUAUGUCUCUCUCUGUCUCCUCACUGUCUGUCUCUCUAUCUUUAUGUAUCUCUCUCUGUCUCCUCACUGUCUAUGUCUCUCUAUCUUUAUGUAUAUCUCUCUCUGUCUCCUCACUGUCUCUCUAUCUUUAUGUCUCUCUCUCACUGUAUCUGUCUCUCUGUCUCCUCACUGUCUGUCUCUCUGUCUUUAUGUAUGUCUCUCUCUCUGUCUCCUCUCUGUCUCUCUAUCUUUAUGUAUCUCUCUGUCUCCUCACUGUCUCUGUCUCUCUAUCUUUAUGUGUGUCUCUGUGUCUGUCUCUCUUUCUUUGUGUCUAUGUGUGUCUCUAUCACUGUCUUUGUGUCUCACUCUUUCUCGCUCUGUCAUUCUCUUCGGUUGUUUCUAGCUUUAAAAAGUAUUGUUUACAUCCCACUAUAGGCUUGUUCCUCGAUUGUUUGUAUCUUAAAAAAGUAUUGUUUACUAACCACUAAAGUCUGGAUACAUCAAUAAACUAAAUGAUAAAGCGCCCCA